rnacentral:lncRNA from 1 species
CACCUCCACUAUCAGAUGUAGAGGCGCUGGCUAAGUAUUGUUUCCCUGUCCUCCGCAGAAAGCAAAGCCUACUCCGAAAGAAAGCCUACUCUGAGGUCCCUUCAUGUGGCCUUUCUUCUCUCUAAAUCUCCUGUGCCUGGAAGAUAGUCAGUGAACGACUCGGCAACAGAGAACCCAUCACCGGGCCCGGGUGUGUCCAGACACCAGCAGGUCUGGUCUAUCGGAGGUGAGCCGCGUGUUUCCUCAGGUGUUCCGAACAGACCCUUUUCCUCGGCACCGCUUCCGCCUCCGAACACUGGGAGCAGCGGCGAACUCGGCGCUUGCACCUGAGGAGAACGAAAGCGUAUUUUCAUUCCUCUCCCUCUGCCCUCUCACUUGCUCACUCCGCUCCUCAAACAAGCCAGGCUUGUCCCAGCCUCAGGGCCUUUCCGCUCGUUUCCUCUGCCGGGAGCGCUCUUUCCUCAGGUGUGCUCACCACACUCCCUCCCUCAUUCAGGCUCGCCUACAUAUCACCUCCGCCAGCUGCUUCCGAAACCGGCUCCCCACGCCGCUCCAGCAAUCCCUACUCCCCUUGCGCGUUUUAUUUCCCUCUGCUGCCCCUGUCGUUGCCUGGCCUUCUAUCACUGUGCUCGCACAUGCUGUUCGCUGCCUCAUUUCCCCCUUUAGUAAGUUCCAUGAGGGCUGUGUUGUUCCCUGCCGGACCCUCAGUGCUUGUGCGCUAAAACUAUUUACCGAGUGAACGAAGGAAUCAUCAUCCCUGUUGUUACGAGACAGGAGUCUGAGUUACCCUCGGCAUCAGUCGGGAGCCAGCACGCUGGCAGGAGCUGGCCGCCGGAGAGGAGUGCUUGUGUAAGCCCCGCCUAAGGCUGCGCGGUGUGACAGCCUGGAUCACUUGGCUGGUGCAACAACAAAAAUGUCCUGUUCUGGAGGCUAGAAGUCCGACAUCAAAGUGUCAGCAGGGUUCGGUCCCCAUGAGGACUCCGAGGGAGAAUCUCUUCUGUCCUCGGCCCCUGCCCUAGCUUCUGGUGGCUUCCUGGCAAUCCUGGUGUUCCUCGGCUUGUAAAAGCAGCACCUCCAUCUCUGCCUCUGUCUUCACGUGGUAUCCCCCUAUUUUACAUGUCUGUGUCCAAGUUUCCUCUUCUUAUAAAAACACCUGUCCUACUGGGUGAGGGCCCACCCUAAUAUCUCCUCUUAACUCAUGACUUCUGCAACAAUCCUAUUUCCAAAUAAAGGCCUCCUGCCUGGGUACUGGGAGUAGGGC